AGUGAACGCUGGCGGUAGGCCUAACACAUGCAAGUCGAACGGCAGCACAGUAAGAGCUUGCUCUUACGGGUGGCGAGUGGCGGACGGGUGAGGAAUACAUCGGAAUCUACUUUUUCGUGGGGGGUAACGUAGGGAAACUUACGCUAAUACCGCAUACGACCUACGGGUGAAAGCAGUGGAUCUUCGGACCUUUCGCGAUUGAAUGAGCCGAUGUCGGAUUAGCUAGUUGGCGGGGUAAAGGCCCACCAAGGCGACGAUCCGUAGCUGGUCUGAGAGGAUGAUCAGCCACACUGGAGCUGAGACACGGUCCAGACUCCUACGGGAGGCAGCAGUGGGGAAUAUUGGACAAUGGGCGCAAGCCUGAUCCAGCCAUACCGCGUGGGUGAAGAAGGCCUUCGGGUUGUAAAGCCCUUUUGUUGGGAAAGAAAAGCAGCAGGUUAAUACCCCGCUGUUCUGACGGUACCCAAAGAAUAAGCACCGGCUAACUUCGUG
rnacentral:rRNA from 1 species